rnacentral:rRNA from 1 species
UUAAGUUAUUAAGGGCGCACGGUGGAUGCCUUGGCACUAGAAGCCGAUGAAGGACGUUACUAACGACGAUAUGCUUUGGGGAGCUGUAAGUAAGCUUUGAUCCAGAGAUUUCCGAAUGGGGAAACCCAGCAUGAGUUAUGUCAUGUUAUCGAUAUGUGAAUACAUAGCAUAUCAGAAGGCACACCCGGAGAACUGAAACAUCUUAGUACCCGGAGGAAGAAAAAGAAAAUUCGAUUCCCUUAGUAGCGGCGAGCGAAACGGGAAGAGCCCAAACCAACAAGCUUGCUUGUUGGGGUUGUAGGACACUCUAUACGGAGUUACAAAGGACGACAUUAGACGAAUCAUCUGGAAAGAUGAAUCAAAGAAGGUAAUAAUCCUGUAGUCGAAAAUGUUGCCUCUCUUGAGUGGAUCCUGAGUACGACGGAACACGUGAAAUUCCGUCGGAAUCUGGGAGGACCAUCUCCUAAGGCUAAAUACUCUCUAGUGACCGAUAGUGAACCAGUACCGUGAGGGAAAGGUGAAAAGCACCCCGGAAGGGGAGUGAAAUAGAACCUGAAACCGUGUGCUUACAAGUAGUCAGAGCCCGUUAAUGGGUGAUGGCGUGCCUUUUGUAGAAUGAACCGGCGAGUUACGAUUUGAUGCAAGGUUAAGCAGUAAAUGUGGAGCCGUAGCGAAAGCGAGUCUGAAUAGGGCGUUUAGUAUUUGGUCGUAGACCCGAAACCAGGUGAUCUACCCUUGGUCAGGUUGAAGUUCAGGUAACACUGAAUGGAGGACCGAACCGACUUACGUUGAAAAGUGAGCGGAUGAACUGAGGGUAGCGGAGAAAUUCCAAUCGAACCUGGAGAUAGCUGGUUCUCUCCGAAAUAGCUUUAGGGCUAGCCUCAAGUGAUGAUUAUUGGAGGUAGAGCACUGUUUGGACGAGGGGCCCCUCUCGGGUUACCGAAUUCAGACAAACUCCGAAUGCCAAUUAAUUUAACUUGGGAGUCAGAACAUGGGUGAUAAGGUCCGUGUUCGAAAGGGAAACAGCCCAGACCACCAGCUAAGGUCCCAAAAUAUAUGUUAAGUGGAAAAGGAUGUGGCGUUGCCCAGACAACUAGGAUGUUGGCUUAGAAGCAGCCAUCAUUUAAAGAGUGCGUAAUAGCUCACUAGUCGAGUGACACUGCGCCGAAAAUGUACCGGGGCUAAACAUAUUACCGAAGCUGUGGAUUGUCCUUUGGACAAUGGUAGGAGAGCGUUCUAAGGGCGUUGAAGCAUGAUCGUAAGGACAUGUGGAGCGCUUAGAAGUGAGAAUGCCGGUGUGAGUAGCGAAAGACGGGUGAGAAUCCCGUCCACCGAUUGACUAAGGUUUCCAGAGGAAGGCUCGUCCGCUCUGGGUUAGUCGGGUCCUAAGCUGAGGCCGACAGGCGUAGGCGAUGGAUAACAGGUUGAUAUUCCUGUACCACCUAUAAUCGUUUUAAUCGAUGGGGGGACGCAGUAGGAUAGGCGAAGCGUGCGAUUGGAUUGCACGUCUAAGCAGUAAGGCUGAGUAUUAGGCAAAUCCGGUACUCGUUAAGGCUGAGCUGUGAUGGGGAGAAGACAUUGAGUCUUCGAGUCGUUGAUUUCACACUGCCGAGAAAAGCCUCUAGAUAGAAAAUAGGUGCCCGUACCGCAAACCGACACAGGUAGUCAAGAUGAGAAUUCUAAGGUGAGCGAGCGAACUCUCGUUAAGGAACUCGGCAAAAUGACCCCGUAACUUCGGGAGAAGGGGUGCUCUUUAGGGUUAACGCCCAGAAGAGCCGCAGUGAAUAGGCCCAAGCGACUGUUUAUCAAAAACACAGGUCUCUGCUAAACCGUAAGGUGAUGUAUAGGGGCUGACGCCUGCCCGGUGCUGGAAGGUUAAGAGGAGUGGUUAGCUUCUGCGAAGCUACGAAUCGAAGCCCCAGUAAACGGCGGCCGUAACUAUAACGGUCCUAAGGUAGCGAAAUUCCUUGUCGGGUAAGUUCCGACCCGCACGAAAGGCGUAACGAUUUGGGCACUGUCUCAACGAGAGACUCGGUGAAAUCAUAGUACCUGUGAAGAUGCAGGUUACCCGCGACAGGACGGAAAGACCCCGUGGAGCUUUACUGUAGCCUGAUAUUGAAAUUCGGCACAGCUUGUACAGGAUAGGUAGGAGCCUUUGAAACGUGAGCGCUAGCUUACGUGGAGGCGCUGGUGGGAUACUACCCUAGCUGUGUUGGCUUUCUAACCCGCACCACUUAUCGUGGUGGGAGACAGUGUCAGGCGGGCAGUUUGACUGGGGCGGUCGCCUCCUAAAAGGUAACGGAGGCGCUCAAAGGUUCCCUCAGAAUGGUUGGAAAUCAUUCAUAGAGUGUAAAGGCAUAAGGGAGCUUGACUGCGAGACCUACAAGUCGAGCAGGGUCGAAAGACGGACUUAGUGAUCCGGUGGUUCCGCAUGGAAGGGCCAUCGCUCAACGGAUAAAAGCUACCCCGGGGAUAACAGGCUUAUCUCCCCCAAGAGUUCACAUCGACGGGGAGGUUUGGCACCUCGAUGUCGGCUCAUCGCAUCCUGGGGCUGUAGUCGGUCCCAAGGGUUGGGCUGUUCGCCCAUUAAAGCGGUACGCGAGCUGGGUUCAGAACGUCGUGAGACAGUUCGGUCCCUAUCCGUCGUGGGCGUAGGAAAUUUGAGAGGAGCUGUCCUUAGUACGAGAGGACCGGGAUGGACAUACCUCUGGUGUACCAGUUGUCGUGCCAACGGCAUAGCUGGGUAGCUAUGUGUGGACGGGAUAAGUGCUGAAAGCAUCUAAGCAUGAAGCCCCCCUCAAGAUGAGAUUUCCCAACUUCGGUUAUAAGAUCCCUCAAAGAUGAUGAGGUUAAUAGGUUCGAGGUGGAAGCAUGGUGACAUGUGGAGCUGACGAAUACUAAUCGAUCGAAGACUUAAUCAA